rnacentral:rRNA from 1 species
ACUUAAAUGAUCUCUUCGGAGUGAACUUAAGUGGAUUAGUGGCGGACGGGUGAGUAACGCGUGAGUAACCUGCCUUAGAGAAGGGGAUAGCCUUUGGAAACGAAGAAUAAUACCCUAUGACAUGAUAGCCUCGCAUGAGAUUAUCAUCAAAGAUUUAUCGCUCUAAGAUGGACUUGCGUCUGAUUAGUUAGUUGGUGGGGUAACGGCCCACCAAGACAGCGAUCAGUAGCCGGCUUGAGAGAGUGUACGGCCACAUUGGGACUGAGACACGGCCCAGACUCCUACGGGAGGCAGCAGUGGGGAAUUUUGCACAAUGGGGGAAACCCUGAUGCAGCGACGCCGCGUGAUUUAGAAGGCCUUCGGGUUGUAAAAAUCUUUUCUAUGGGAAGAACAUGACAGUACCAUAGGAAUAAGGACCGGCUAAUUACGUGCCAGCAGCCGCGGUAAUACGUAAGGUCCGAGCGUUGUCCGGAAUCAUUGGGCGUAAAGGGUACGUAGGCGGGUAAGCAAGUUAGAAGUGAAAUCCUAUAGCUCAACUAUAGUAAGCUUUUAAAACUGCUCAUCUUGAGGUAUGGAAGGGAAAGUGGAAUUCCUAGUGUAGCGGUGAAAUGCGCAGAUAUUAGGAGGAAUACCGGUGGCGAAGGCGACUUUCUGGCCAUAACCUGACGCUGAGGUACGAAAGCGUGGGUAGCAAACAGGAUUAGAUACCCUGGUAGUCCACGCCGUAAACGAUGAGUGUUAGGUGUCUGGAGUAAAUCUGGGUGCCGCAGCUAACGCAUUAAGCACUCCGCCUGGGGAGUACGACCGCAAGGUUG